AGAAAGGCUGCUGCACCAGGAACAAAAUAAGGUGAAUUCUAGACACAUGUGAGGAGCAGGCAGAAGACAGCAUGCUAGAGAGCAGACAUUUCAUUGUAUCUACACCGUAAAAUUGCAACUGUGUAUCCCUCAGAGCUGAGGUGUGCCACCUACGUGAACUGCAAGGCAGCCACAGCCCUGCCCUCUGUGUCCUCAUCCUGGAAGAGGGUUGCUUUGUCCAUCUGGAAAUCUCUUAGAAUUCCAUGUCUGUGGGAGGCAGAGGAGAACGCAGAGCUGGAAGGUGAUAUGCGGCUUCUGCCUGGAGACUCCGCCCCACCCCAGACUUCCUGUGUCUUCUGUGAAGAGGUGAUGAAUCCACUGAGUGGCACUGAAGCUGUGAGUCUGCAAUCAUGGAUACCACUGCAGAAGAGGUUUCCUUGUCCUUCACAGCCAGCAGGAGCAUGGAUCAUAGACUGCCGCAUGAGCUCUAAUGACAGCAAGGGCCAGGGACAUCCAUCUGGCCUCCGGCACCAACACAUGCCACAGACCUCAGCAUGGUUUCUGGUGAUAGUACAAGCCACUAACAGACAUCAAUUCAGCCUCCAGCUGCAGCAGGACCAUGGACCCCCAGUAUGACCCUUGUCAGCAGCACAGACCACAGACAUCUGUGUGACCUUUAGUGGUACCAUAGGCCAUAGACAUUAACAUGGCCCCCAGUGCAGUACAGAGCAUGGCCUCAGGUGGCAGCUCAGGCUAUUCCCAUUUGCAUGGUCCCCAGAGGCACCAUGGCUCAUGGACAUCAACAUGUCAGCCUGCUUUCUUUUAGAAAACCCAGGACCACCUGCCCAGGGAUAACAUCAACCACAAUGGGCUGGGCUAUCCCCGUCAAUCACUACUUAAGAAAAUGCUUACAGGCUUGCCUACAGCUCGAUCUUAUGGAAGCAUUUUCUUAAUUGAGGUUCCCUCCUCUCAGAUGACUUUAGCUUGUAUCAAGUUGACACAAACUAUAUAGUACACUGGCCAUCUCCUCAGCCACAAGCAGCAGAGGGCUGUCAUGCUGAGGGAGCACGGUUCAGCUCCAGACCAGCUAGCAAUUCCUCUUCCAGCAGCAAGCUCUUCUGACUUUAGGAAUGCCCAUCAGACCCAGGCUGCCUGUGCACUGACACGAAUGUGUUAUCUGUCUGUCCAUUCCCUCCCCCCACCCCCAACACACACAUCUUAGGGUUACUGUUGCUGUAAUGAAACACUAUGACCAAAAGCAACUUGGAGAGGAAAGGGUUUAUUUCAUUCACAGCUCCAUGAAACAGUUCAUCAAAAGCAGUGAGGGGGGAACUCAAGCAGGGCAGGAACCUGGAGGCAGGAGCUGAUGCAGAGGCCAUGGAGGGUGCUGCUGACUGGCUUGCUGCUCAUAGCUUAAUCAAUCNUUAUUUGUAUAUGCUCAGCCCAAGGAGUGGCACUAUUAGAAGGUAUGGCCCUGUUGGAGUAGGUGUGUCACUGUUGGCGUGGGCUUUAAGACCGUCAUCCUAGCUGCCUGGAAGCCAGUAUUCUGCUAGCAGCCUUCAGAUGAAGAUGUAAAACUCUCNNNNNNUCCUGCACCAUGCCUGCCUGGAUGCUGCCAUGUUCUUGCCUUGAUAUUUAAUGCACUGAACCUCUGAGCCUGUAGGCCAGCCCCAGUUAAAGGUCCUUACAAAAGUUGCUUCAGCCAUGAUGUCUGUAUACAGCAGUAAAAUCCUAAGACAAUUAUUAUUAUUAUUAUUAUUAUUAUUAUUAUUAUCCUUUUGAGACAAGGUUUCUCUGUGUAGCCCUGGAUGUCCUAGAACUCACUCUAUAGACCAAGCUGGCCCUGAACUCAGAGAUUCACCUGCCUCUGACUCCCAAGUGCUGGGAUUAAAGAUGUACACACACC
ensembl:lincRNA Gm14340 predicted gene 14340